ACCUGAUGGUGUGGGCAUUGACGUAGUCAGUCCCUAAAGUGCUCUCAAGUCUUAAAAAGUAGUUCCUCACCCAUCUGUGAGAAACUGGUGAUGGCUCUCCUAAGCU